rnacentral:lncRNA from 1 species
UUUUCUAAGUGUUUCUACACAUAGUGGACCAACAUGCAGUACAGGGUCCUCUCAGGGAGACUCAGCAGAAGACAGCUUCCCCUACUGCUGUCCUAGAUGAGAUGGAGGGGUGCAUAAAGGAGACCCAGACUCACAGGAAGAGGAUUUUUCUCAGCAGACUGAUGAUAGCAGGAAGAUGAAAUAAAAAGAUGAAGGUAUCAUUUCUGCUCCAGUCUUUCUCUACUUGGCUGAGAAAACCAAGACAUUACAAGGACUUUCUCAUGAUUAUGAAGUUCUGACUGCAGUCUGACCGUCAUACCACACCAACAAAGGGAACUUGCUUUUUCCUGCUGUGCACCAGAGCUCUCAUACACAGGCAAUUACACAUCCAAGAAUUGUACACCCUGUCUUUACAAUAGUGUCAUGCUGACUGGACAUGCUGGCUUGCAGUAGCAGUUGGGAACAGACAGACUCCCCUACUGGGUAGGCUUAAAAUGAUAUAUAAAGAAAGCUUAGUGCUUUACAUGUUGAUCCAGACAGACAGUUGUGAAUUAUUUAUGUGAUUAAAACUGUGCACUUACAAAAAGAAUAUAAAUUGCCCAAAAUGUGUAAAAGCAAAACUCAUUCAUUUUAUUCAGCUCAGCAGCCUAAAAAU